rnacentral:lncRNA from 1 species
AUUGGUGAAGUGUGGUGACAUGUUCUGGGGGGAGGGAAAGGUGCCACACAAUGGAUGGUCUUAUUGUUUCCAUGCUACGUGCACCUAUGAGAGGUCAGUUUUGCUUGCCGCAAAACAAUUUGUUCCUUUUCUGCCUUCAUAUGUUCUAACAAACUAGUUUUUUUGUGUUGGGGUUCAGCUCUGACACGGCUAUGCAGGUUGUGCAGCACAUAAUCAACUUUGUCCCUGGGCAGCAUCCGAUGAACUUGACUGCGAUGCGUAGCUGCAAAUUAUCUUAUGGUGGGGCAUGAAAAAUGUUUUGGUAUAAUGUUUCGCUUGACCUUUUUGUUCUGUCGCAGUAUUCUUCAGUUGCUCUCAAGAAGAAGCUUCUUCGGGCUGUCCUCACGAUGGUGGGUAACACUGGCAGCCUACCCCGCCGUGUUGAAGCAUGAUUGUCAUCCCAAAAGCCCUGGGUAACCACACAGAUUAAUUCUGUGCCCCUCCAUAUAUUGCAAAAGCAGGGACUUUAUCUUAAGUUGGUCACCGUAUGUUUGGUGUAUCCUCCCCUUCAGCUACUAGAUGAUUGUGGUCCGGGAAACAUAAGAUAUUAUAAUAUUAUCAGUAUUGCACGGUUCCUAUCCAAGUUGGGCGGGUGUUUUAAGUAUUUGCGAACCUAUAAUAUUGUAACCGUUUCAGUGCGGAACGGAUAAAACCAUAAAAAUAUUUAGCGAGUUUGUUGCUUCUUUGCUACCUGUAGUGUUAUGAUUUUGUUUUUCCAAAUUCUGACUGGUAGUUUAUUGAGACAAGUUGGUGGGCGACAUUGCUGAAUAGUUCAAUACGGUGGCUGUACUUUCAGCUCGUACUGGUUAUUUCCUGUCUUUGGUUAAAUAAGGUGGCUGUAAUUUCAGCUCGUAAGGAUUGAUAACGAUUUCAGAUCGUCCAUGGUGGUCCUGCUGUGGGUGACAAGUUUUCGAACAGAUUGAGUUUGUUUGUGCCUUUUUGAUAUAUGUAAUUU